rnacentral:rRNA from 1 species
AGGGUGUAAACGCUGCAGACUUGGUGUUGGAAGUCCUUUGGGGGCGAUUUCAGUGCCGGAGAGAAGUUGUUAAGUCUGCUACUUGGGGAGUACGUCCGCAAGGAUGAAACUUAAAAGGAAUUGGCGGGGGGAGGCACCGCAACGGGAGGAGCGUGCGGUUUAAUUUGGAUUCAACACCGUAAAACUACACCAGGGAAGGAACUGUUUACAUGAAAGCCGAGAUGAAGACUCUGCUAGAUUUUUCAGAGAGGAGGUGCAUGGCGUAGACGUCU